rnacentral:rRNA from 1 species
GACGUAGGGGGCGAGCGUUGUCCGGAUUUAUUGGGCGUAAAGCGUGCGUAGGCGGCUGCGCAAGUCGGUUGUGAAACCCCGGGGCUCAACCCCGGAACUGCAUCCGAUACUGCGUGGCUAGAGGUAGGUAGGGGAGAUCGGAAUUCCUGGUGUAGCGGUGAAAUGCGCAGAUAUCAGGAAGAACACCAAUGGCGAAGGCAGCUCUCUGGGACGGUACUGACGCUGAGACGCGAAAGCGUGGGGAGCGAACAGG